rnacentral:piRNA from 1 species
UAUCCAAAUGCGAAGUAUGACUGUCUA